rnacentral:rRNA from 1 species
UACAGAGGGUGCGAGCGUUAAUCGGAGUUACUGGGCGUAAAGGGCGCGUAGGCGGUUUAGUAAGUUAGAUGUGAAAUCCCUGGGCUUAACCUAGGAACUGCAUCUAAGACUGCUAAGCUAGAGUAUUGUAGGGGGUAGUGGAAUUUCCGGUGUAGCGGUGAAAUGCGUAGAGAUCGGAAGGAACACCAGUGGCGAAGGCGGCUACCUGGACAAAUACUGACGCUGAGGCGCGAGAGCGUGGGGAGCAAACAGG